rnacentral:rRNA from 3 species
CCCCGGUAAACGGCGGCCGUAACUAUAACGGUCCUAAGGUAGCGAAAUUCCUUGUCGGGUAAGUUCCGACCUGCACGAAUGGCGUAAUGAUGGCCAGGCUGUCUCCACCCGAGACUCAGUGAAAUUGAACUCGCUGUGAAGAUGCAGUGUACCCGCGGCAAGACGGAAAGACCCCGUGAACCUUUACUAUAGCUUGACACUGAACAUUGAGCCUUGAUGUGUAGGAUAGGUGGGAGGCUUUGAAGUGUGGACGCCAGUCUGCAUGGAGCCGACCUUGAAAUACCACCCUUUAAUGUUUGAUGUUCUAACGUGGACCCGUAAUCCGGGUUGCGGACAGUGUCUGGUGGGUAGUUUGACUGGGGCGGUCUCCUCCUAAAGAGUAACGGAGGAGCACGAAGGUUGGCUAAUCCUGGUCGGACAUCAGGAGGUUAGUGCAAUGGCAUAAGCCAGCUUGACUGCGAGCGUGACGGCGCGAGCAGGUGCGAAAGCAGGUCAUAGUGAUCCGGUGGUUCUGAAUGGAAGGGCCAUCGCUCAACGGAUAAAAGGUACUCCGGGGAUAACAGGCUGAUACCGCCCAAGAGUUCAUAUCGACGGCGGUGUUUGGCACCUCGAUGUCGGCUCAUCACAUCCUGGGGCUGAAGUAGGUCCCAAGGGUAUGGCUGUUCGCCAUUUAAAGUGGUACGCGAGCUGGGUUUAGAACGUCGUGAGACAGUUCGGUCCCUAUCUGCCGUGGGCGCUGGAGAACUGAGGGGGGCUGCUCCUAGUACGAGAGGACCGGAGUGGACGCAUCACUGGUGUUCGGGUUGUCAUGCCAAUGGCACUGCCCGGUAGCUAAAUGCGGAAGAGAUAAGUGCUGAAAGCAUCUAAGCACGAAACUUGCCCCGAGAUGAGUUCUCCCUGAGACUUAGAGUCUCCUGAAGGAACGUU